CCUACGGGAGGCAGCAGUGAGGAAUAUUGGUCAAUGGGCGCUAGCCUGACCCAGCCACGCCGCGUGAAGGAUGACUGCCCUAUGGGUUGUACCCUUCUUUUAUAUGGGAAUACAGUCCAGUAUGUCUCCUGCUUUGCAUGUACCUUAUGAAUAAGGAUCGGCUAACUCCGUGCCAGCAGCCGCGGUGAUACGGAGGAGUCGAGCGUUAUCCGGAUUUAUUGGGUUUAAAGGGAGCCUAGGCGGGUUGUUAAGUCAGUUGGGAAAGUUUGCGGCUCAACCCUAAAAUUGCAGUUGAUACUGGCAUCCUUGAGUACAGUAGAGGUAGGCGGAAUUCGUGGUGUAGCGGUGAAAUGCGUAGAUAUAACGAAGAACGCCGAUUGCGAAGGCAGACUGCUGGACUGUAACUGACGCUGAUGCUCGAAAGUGUGGGUAUCAAACAGGAUUAGAUACCCGAGUAGUC
rnacentral:rRNA from 1 species